CUGGGCUUGACAUGCACUGGAAACCGGUAGAGAUAUCGGCCCCCUUGUGGCCGGUGUACAGGUGGUGCAUGGCUGUCGUCAGCUCGUGUCGUGAGAUGUUGGGUUAAGUCCCGCAACGAGCGCAACCCUCGUUCCAUGUUGCCAGCGGAUAAUGCCGGGGACUCAUGGGAGACUGCCGGGGUCAACUCGGAGGAAGGUGGGGAUGACGUCAAGUCAUCAUGCCCCUUAUGUCCAGGGCUUCACACAUGCUACAAUGGCCGGUACAAAGGGCUGCUAAGCCGUGAGGUGGAGCGAAUCCCAUAAAGCCGGUCUCAGUUCGGAUCGGGGUCUGCAACUCGACCCCGUGAAGUCGGAGUCGCUAGUAAUCGCAGAUCAGCAACGCUGCGGUGAAUA
rnacentral:rRNA from 1 species